GGGAUGCGGCUCCCCCGCGGCGCUGCCCGCGCUGCUCUCCGGACUCCCCUGCCCUCAUUGCGAUGGGCCCGGCCUGCCCAGCCUCCUAAUCUGCGCUGAGUGGGACUGCCGAUGAACGCCGCGAUAAAUUUAGAAAGAAAUCUUUGUGUGGGUCAGAGGAAAAACACGGGGAAGCCGAGCUGGAGCGGCUCCCGUCCCCCGGGCUCGUCCCUGCAGAUUUCUCACCGCUGCCGCUCUCGCCAGAGGAGCCACGGGGCUCAGAGGCAGCACCCCAGGCUCGCCCAGCCUUGUUUUUCUGAAGUUAAGAAAGAAAAUUCCCAGCCUUGCAGGACUUGGGGUGUUCCUCGCACGCUCUGAAGGUUUUUCCUCCUGUUCCUGUGGCUCCUUCAGGAAUGAGGGGUUGGGAAACUCAGGGACAGCUCUGAACCACCCCGAGGUGCUGCUGCCACAGCCUUUGGGACCUUUGAGCCCCCCUGAUCUCUGCCCAUCUCAGGGUUUGCAGCACAUUCCAGCGUUUUUGGACCCCAAUUCCUCAGCUCAGUGGCUCUCAGGGGAUGGAUAAUCUCAUUUGUGUCUGUUCCUACAAAUCAGCAGCAAAUUAAACGGAUCUGAAAGCCAAAAUUAAAGGCUCCAAACACAUGGGAAGUGCCUGUAAUGCAAA